UUUCCCAACAAUUGGUCUGUCAAACAUAUAUAAUUCACUGUAAUAAUUAUAAGGAUAAAAUGAAAAUUGCAAAAACACCCCAAAACUCAUUCCUAUUGAUAUCUCUAAGGAUCCCUACACAUGUUCUCACUAAUUCCCAAUUGUGAAUAACUCAUCCCUUACCUCUGAGCGGGCUCACGUGUCUUCAGCCAACGAUAGCAACAUCUCUAGCGGUUCCCUGAGAUUUCUCAAGUUAUUCCUCCUACUGUCCCGAUAGAAUUCCCAAACGUCAGAGAGACGGAGAAGAGAUUGAAGCCUCCACUUAUACUAUCUUCAUGCGAUUCAUUUUUCG
rnacentral:lncRNA from 1 species